rnacentral:rRNA from 1 species
UGGGGAAUAUUGGACAAUGGGGGCAACCCUGAUCCAGCCAUGCCGCGUGAGUGAUGAAGGCCUUAGGGUUGUAAAGCUCUUUCGCCGGUGAAGAUAAUGACGGUAGCCGGUAAAGAAGCCCCGGCUAACUUCGUGCCAGCAGUCGCGGUAAUACGAAGGGGGCUAGCGUUGUUCGGAAUUACUGGGCGUAAAGCGCGCGUAGGCGGAUCUUUAAGUCAGGGGUGAAAUCCCGGGGCUCAACCUCGGAAUUGCCUUUGAGACUGGAUGGCUAGAAUCUUGGAGAGGUGAGUGGAAUUCCGAGUGUAGAGGUGAAAUUCGUAGAUAUUCGGAAGAACACCAGUGGCGAAGGCGACUCACUGGACAAGUAUUGACGCUGAGGUGCGAAAGCGUGGGGAGCAAACAGGAUUAGAUACCCCUGUAGUCC